GAUGAACGCUGGCGGCGUGCUUAACACAUGCAAGUCGAACGUGAGAGGUAGCAAUAUCUUGAAAGUGGCGCACGGGUGAGUAACACGUAGGUAACCUGCCUCGGAGUGGGGGAUAACCAGUUAGAAAUGACUGCUAAUACCGCAUGAAUCCAUUAAGAUGGGAAUGUUGAUGGAGAAAACUCUGGUGCUUCGAGAGGGGCCUGCGGUCGAUUAGCUAGUUGGCGGGUAACGGCCCACCAAGGCGACGAUCGAUAGCUGGUCUGAGAGGACGAUCAGCCACACGGGAACUGAGACACGGUCCCGACUCCUACGGGGGGCAGCAGUGAGGAAUAUUGGGCAAUGGCGGAAGCCUGACCCAGCAACGCCGCG
rnacentral:rRNA from 1 species